rnacentral:rRNA from 1 species
AUUGAACGCUGGCGGCAGGCCUAACACAUGCAAGUCGAGCGCGAAAGGUUUUCGGACUGAGUAAAGCGGCGGACGGGUGAGUAAUGCAUGGGAAUCUGCCUGGUAGUGGGGGACAACGUUUCGAAAAGAGACGCUAAUACCGCAUACGCCCUACGGGGGAAAGGGGGGGAUCUUCGGACCUCUCGCUAUCAGAUGAGCCCAUGUCAGAUUAGCUUGUUGGUGAGGUAAAGGCUCACCAAGGCGACGAUCUGUAACUGGUCUGAGAGGAUGAGCAGUCACACUGGAACUGAGACACGGUCCAGACUCCUACGGGAGGCAGCAGUGGGGAAUAUUGGACAAUGGGGGCAACCCUGAUCCAGCCAUGCCGCGUGUGUGAACGAAGCCUUAGGGUUGUAAAGCACUUUCAGUGGGGAGAAGGUAUUCACCUAAUACGUAGAG